UGGGGGAUAUUGCACAAUGGGCGAAAGCCUGAUGCAGCGACGCCGCGUGGGGGAUGAAGGCCUUCGGGUUGUAAACUUCUUUUGCUCUGAACAAGGCAUGCUCAUGGGUGUGUUGAGUGUAGGGGUCGAUUAGCGCCGGCUAACUACGUGCCAGCAGCCGCGGUUAUACGUAGGGCGCGAGCGUUGUCCGGAAUUAUUGGUGGUAAAGGGCUUGUAGGUGGCUGGUUGCGUCUGUCGUGAAAGCUCAUGGCUUAACUGUGGGUUUGCGGUGGGUACGGGCUGGCUUGAGUGCAGGAGGGGAGGCUGGAAUUCCUGAUGAAGCGGUGGAAUGCGCAGAUAUCAGGAGGAAUAACGGUGGCGAAGGCGGGUCUCGGGGCUGUGACUGACACUGAGGAGCGAAAGAAUGGGGAGCGAACAGG
rnacentral:rRNA from 1 species